GCUUACGGCCAUACCAGCCUGAAUGCUCCCGAUCUCGUCAGAUCUUGGAAGCUAAGCAAGGUCGGGUCUGAUUAGUACUCGGAUGGGAGACUGCCUGGGAAUACCAGGUGCUGUAAGCA
rnacentral:rRNA from 1 species